UCCCGCGUAGCUCAAGGGCAGAGCAGUCGGCUGUUAACCGACAGGCUACUGGUUCGAAUCCAGUCGCGGGAG
rnacentral:tRNA from 1 species